rnacentral:rRNA from 1 species
AACGAACGCUGGCGGCAUGCCUAACACAUGCAAGUCGAACGAGACCUUCGGGUCUAGUGGCGCACGGGUGCGUAACGCGUGGGAACCUGCCCUUAGGUUCGGAAUAACUCCCCGAAAGGGGUGCUAAUACCGGAUAAUGUCUUCGGACCAAAGAUUUAUCGCCUUUGGAUGGGCCCGCGUUGGAUUAGCUAGUUGGUAGGGUAAAAGCCUACCAAGGCGACGAUCCAUAGCUGGUCUGAGAGGAUGAUCAGCCACACUGGGACUGAGACACGGCCCAGACUCCUACGGGAGGCAGCAGUGGGGAAUAUUGGACAAUGGGCGGAAGCCUGAUCCAGCAAUGCCGCGUGAGUGAUGAAGGCCUUAGGGUUGUAAAGCUCUUUUACCCGGGAUGAUAAUGACAGUACCGGGAGAAUAAGCACCGGCUAACUCCGUG